UACGGGGGGGGUAAGCGUUGUUCGGAAUUACUGGGCGUAAAGGGCUCGUAGGCGGCCAACUAAGUCAGAGGUGAAAUCCCUCAGCUUAACUGGGGAACUGCGUCUGAUACUGGAUGGCUUGGAUUCGGGAGAGGAAUGCGGAAUUCCAGGUGUAGCGGUGAAAUGCGUAGAUAUCUGGAGGAACACCGGUGGCGAAGGCGGCAUUCUGGACCGACAUUGACGCUGAGGAGCGAAAGCCAGGGGAGCAAACGGG
rnacentral:rRNA from 1 species